CUCGUACUUUUCACAAACAGCCGUCUGAAAACUGUUACAGAAAUUCUGGGAAUAUUUUGCAUGGCUUAUCACCUCGUGUUCACUCUGGCAGACACAGAAGGCCACCCUAGAUUAAAACAAUUUUCUGAGGAAAAACAUCUUUUCAAAAAUCUUUUGGAAUAUCCAGAGAGAUUUCCUUCCAAGUGAUUAUUCCACGAAGGCAUGGAGAAGAACUAUAAUUUUUGUCCCCCACAAAGGUAGGUAGGGUUAUUUGACUUGGCUUGAUCAAUGAAAUAAGAGUAGAAAAGGCAUGUCACUGCCUCUGAAAACAAGAGUCAGUGUCUAGUUCAUCAAGCGGCCAUCUUUCCUCAUGCUCUGGAAAGUAUGAAGACAUGUUAAAAUAAAGCUUCCAACAUGCUGGAGCCUUGAAUAACUUAGAUGAGGAGGGCCCCUCUGUCAAAACAGUAUGAACACUUAGAAUCUACAAGGAAUAUACUUUGCUUUUUAAUGUACUGGGACUAGGGGAUUAUUUUGUUACUUCAGCAUAAUAUUGCCUAUCCUGACUGAUAAAACUACUGUCACCAUCUAUUAUGCACGUGUGUUUCCUUCUUUCUCUUCAGCUCAGAAAUCUCUUUGGUCACAAAAGUGUUAUAAAUGCCACUACCUAUUAUGCAAUCACCUAUGCUCUAUAGAUGUAAC
rnacentral:lncRNA from 1 species